GAUGAACGCUAGCGGGAGGCCUAACACAUGCAAGCCGAGGGGUAUAUUUCUUUCGGGAGAUAGAGACCGGCGCACGGGUGCGUAACGCGUAUGCAACUUGCCCUACUGAAAAGGAUAGCCCUUCGAAAGGAGGAUUAAUACUUUAUAAUAGAAUUCAUGGCAUCAUGAAAUUUUGAAAGAUUUAUCGCAGUAGGAUAGGCAUGCGUAAGAUUAGUUAGUUGGUGAGGUAACGGCUCACCAAGACGAUGAUCUUUAGGGGGCCUGAGAGGGUGAACCCCCACACUGGUACUGAGACACGGACCAGACUCCUACGGGAGGCAGCAGUGAGGAAUAUUGGACAAUGGGGUGGAAGCCUGAUCCAGCCAUCCCCGCGUGUAGGAUGACGGCCUUAUGGGUUGUAAACUACUUUUAUCUGGGGAUAAACCUACUUACGUGUAAGUAGCCGAAGGUACCAGAAGAAUAAGCACCGGCUAACUCCGUGCCAGCAGCCGCCGUAAU
rnacentral:rRNA from 1 species